UUUAUUGAGAGUUUGAUCCUGGCUCAGGACGAACGCUGGCGGCGUGCUUAACACAUGCAAGUCGAGCGAUGAAGUUUCUUCGGGAACGGAUUAGCGGCGGACGGGUGAGUAACACGUGGGUAACCUGCC
rfam:Clostridium chromiireducens strain DSM 23318 CLCHR_contig000153, whole genome shotgun sequence.